ACAUGCAAGUCGAGCGAGAAAAGGGUAGCAAUCACCUGAGUACAGCGGCGCACGGGUGAGUAACACGUGGGUAAUCUGCCCUGGAGUGGGGAAUAACACCGGGAAACCGGUGCUAAUACCGCAUACGAUCACGAUGUCUGCGGAUGUUGUGAUGAAAGGAGCAAUUCGCUCCAGGAGGAGCCCGCGGCUGAUUAGCUAGUUGGUGAGGUAACGGCUCACCACGGCUACGAUCAGUAUCCGGUCUGAGAGGACGGUCGGACACACUGGAACUGAGACACGGUCCAGACUCCUACGGGAGGCAGCAGUGGGGAAUCUUUGGCACUGGGGGAAACCCUGACC
rnacentral:rRNA from 1 species